AUCAAACCAUGACUGCAGCUGAACAACACCUGACGGGACAAAAGGAAAAUAAAAAGGCUGGACAAGAUACAUGGUGGAGGGAUGUACAUACAAAGAGCUGGGAAAAAGGACAGAUAAUUUUAUGGGGAAGAGGAUUUGCUUGUGUCUCUCCAGGUGGCUUCCUCUGACACCACUCUGGCAAGGGAAGAGGGGCACUGCCUCAUUACUGUCAGCACCCAGAGAUCCUCUCUGCACCACACCACCUUGUCUGCUGGGAAGUGGGGGAGGAGUGGCCUCAGUGAUUCAAGACUCUCCUUUCUACCUCUUGAGAGUGUCUUUCAGCAAUACGAAGUUGAAACCAGUGAGAAGAUUAAGCCAUCAGCUGAGAAUAAAGGACAUGGAGAACAGAUUGGAUUACAGAAGUCAUGACUGCACUU